UACAGAGGGUGCAAGCGUUAAUCGGAGUUACUGGGCGUAAAGGGCGCGUAGGUGGUUAUAUGAGUGUGAUGUGAAAGCCCUGGGCUUAACCUAGGAAGCGCAUCGCAAACGAUAUAGCUGGAGUAUAAGAGAGGGUGGUGGAAUUUCCGGUGUAGCGGUGAAAUGCGUAGAGAUCGGAAGGAACGUCGAUGGCGAAGGCAGCCACCUGGCUUAAUACUGACACUGAGGCGCGAAAGCGUGGGGAGCGAACAGG
rnacentral:rRNA from 1 species